AAGUGGCGGCGACCAGAAAAGAAGGACAGUCGUGCUGCUCUCCCUCGUGGCCACUGCUUUGCGUUCUUCUCUUCACCAUCGUUGUGUGCUCGCUCCACCACACACACACACACACACAUACACACUCUCUGUAUGUCUUUUUUUUUCUGUUCCCCCUUCACGGAAAAAAGGAUUCUUAGGUAUGGCGCACGGCAUCCUCCGCAUUGUGCGCCAGAUGCGCACGUUCAGCUUCACGGCGAGCUGCCGCAGCCACCCGUUUGCUUGGUACGCGGGCCUCUGCUGCACGCUGUUCAGCUGGGCCAACUACGCCCAGUACAAGCGGCUCGCGCCAAUGUUUCCCAAGUAUGAGCGGUACCUAACGGAGGAAGGUGGCCGCAUGAUGGAGGCGAAGAGGCAGGAGCUUGCGGAGGUGAGCCGGUACAACAACAUGGUAGAUACAAUGCGGAGGGACCUCGCUGGCAAGUGAUCAGGUGGAGCGUCGGUGCCCGUGGCGCAGUGGAGUGAGCGCUGCGCAGGUGUUUUGUGCGCAGGACGAAGAAGAAAAAUAAGAGGAGGACAGAUCCGCGGCGGCAGUGGCGCUACACGACGCGGCUCCUGCUACAAUGACUUGGCCACUGUGCGCUCGCCUCCACCGCGUGAGGUGAUCGCUGCUGCUUUUUCUUUUGUUGUGCCCACCAGGAUGUUGGCGUUGGUGCCGCUGAGGGGCGUAGGGGAGAGAGAGCUGAUAUGCACAGACAUGUGUUGUGGUGCUGACGCCGACACUUGCAUGCCUUCCUGCAAACAAACCGGCACGGUCGUCGCGCGACUGGGAGUGGAGGUGAUUGGGGUUCUCUCAAGACCUCCUUGAUGCGUCCGAUCGGAGUUGUGAAGAGCUUCAGAUUACACCAAAGAAAAGUUAGAAGAGAAUGGAGCACACACAGACCGUUGCACCGUGCCUCUCCUGGGCACCACAUCAUUUACCCAGCAGGGCUGGGCGAUGGCACUGUGGUGAUGAUUUUGACUGAGACCUUCUUGAAUUCGUUCUCCCCGGGUACUCCCUCGCGCUUUCUUCGCCACGCUGAUCACAUGUCGACACAAGGGACGCGUUCUCCGGCAUUCUGCUGUCGCUCGGUCUCGUUAGACAAGAGAUGGAGCGUAUGGUGUGUGUGCGUGUGUCUGCUGCUUCGCUAUGCUCUCCGUACAUUCCGUUUUUUGUUUCUCCCUCUCGUCUCUCCUCUUUCUUCUUGCCCUUCUUCGGCACAG
rnacentral:misc_RNA from 1 species